CAGAGCUGUGAGUCAACAUACUUAUCCCCUGGUUUGGGGCAAAACAUCUGAAACACAAGUGGAAACCAAAAGGUUUUAUGCAACACAAGACAUGCGUGGCUAUCGGAUGUUACAACGUAAAGAAUUUCACACCAUCCUCGAGGGCUGUGCGGGUAGAAAGAGUUGGGCAGCUUCACCCGAAGUGAAAGUCUCUCUGGAACCCAAGACUACCAGCCCAGGGAUGACACCACCCACAAUAAUGGACGGAGCUCUCCCCUCUUGAUCACUAAUUGAGAAAAUGCCUUACAGCUGAAUCUCAUGGAGGCAUUUCCUCAAGGGAGGAUCCUUUCUCUGUGGUAACUCCAGCUUGUGUCAAGUUGCCACAUGAAACUAGCCAGUACACUUCUCUACUGCUAUUCCCCUGUCAAAUUCCUAGGUCAAUCAUGUGGACAUUGUUCCUGUUAUUCGCACAUCCACACUAUUGAUUCCUAAACUUCAUUAUCUAAAACUUUGCUACCCUAGCAUGUGAAUGUCUGUCCAACCUGACCUGUGCCCACCUCUUGCCUCAGUUGCUCCAUACAAGUAUCCAUGGCCCCUUACCCUCUCAAGACACUUACAGACUGCCUUGUCUUCAACACACCAAACUACCCCAGACUAGGUUACUGUUCUUGCUCCAACACUUUGUUCUUGUGUGUUUUCCCAGUAGACUUUACUUUUUAAAGGUUUUACCUUUAUUUUAAAAAGCAAGUGGAAAGUACAGAGAGGUUUUUCCCAUGCA
rnacentral:lncRNA from 1 species